UACGGAGGGUGCAAGCGUUAAUCGGAAUUACUGGGCGUAAAGCGUGCGCAGGCGGUUUGUUAAGUCUGCUGUGAAAUCCCCGAGCUCAACUUGGGAAUUGCAGUGGAUACUGGCAAGCUGGAGUACGGUAGAGGAAGGUGGAAUUCCCGGUGUAGCAGUGAAAUGCGCAGAUAUCGGGAAGAACACCCGUGGCGAAGGCGGCACUCUGGGACGGUACUGACGCUGAGACGCGAAAGCGUGGGGAGCGAACAGG
rnacentral:rRNA from 1 species